rnacentral:rRNA from 1 species
UACGCUUGUUGGUGGGGUAUGGCCUACCAAGGGCGACGACGGGUAGCCGGCCUGAGAGGGCGACCGGCCACACUGGGACUGAGACACGGCCCAGACUCCUACGGGAGGCAGCAGUGGGGAAUAUUGCACAAUGGGCGAAAGCCUGAUGCAGCGACGCCGCGUGAGGGAUGACGGCCUUCGGGUUGUAAACCUCUUUCAGCAGGGAAGAAGCGAAAGUGACGGUACCUGCAGAAGAAGCGCCGGCUAACUACGUGCCAGCAGCCGCGGUAAUACGUAGGGCGCAAGCGUUGUCCGGAAUUAUUGGGCGUAAAGAGCUCGUAGGCGGCUUGUCACGUCGGAUGUGAAAGCCCGGGGCUUAACCCCGGGUCUGCAUUCGAUACGGGCUAGCUAGAGUGUGGUAAGGGAGAUCGGAAUUCCUGGUGUAGCGGUGAAAUGCGCAGAUAUCAGGAGGAACACCGGUGGCGAAGGCGGAUCUCUGGGCCAUUACUGACGCUGAGGAGCGAAAGCGUGGGGAGCGAAGCGGAUUAGAUACCCUUGGUAGUCC